UUUAUUACCUGGACGGAUCAAUGGGUGAUCAAGAAGCCCAUGGUCUAUGACACUGACUUCCAUUGCACUUGAGAGGGGUGUUUUGCCCAAGUGACAAACCAUAGGUCACAAUUUGUGGGGGAGGAGGCUUGUGUUCGUGCGGUCCCUAU
rnacentral:snRNA from 1 species